AUUGAACGCUGGCGGCAGGCUUAACACAUGCAAGUCGAACGAGUGGCGGACGGGUGAGUAAUGUCUGGGAAACUGCCUGAUGGAGGGGGAUACCUACUGGAAACGGUCGCUAAUACCGCAUACCAUCGGAUGUGCCCAGAUGGGAUUAGCUAGUCGGUGGGGUACAGGCUCACCUAGGCGACGAUCCCUAGCUGGUCUGAGAGGGUGACCAGCCAACCGGGAACGGAGAUACGGUCCAGACUCCGACGGGAGGCAGCAGUGGGGAAUAUUGGACAAUUGGCGCAAUCCUGAUGCAGCCAUGCCGCGGGUAUGAAGAAGGCCUUCGGGUUGUAAAGUACUUUCAGCGGGGAGGCGGUACCCGCAGAAGAAGCACCGGCUAACUCCGUGCCAGCAGCCGCGGUAAUAC
rnacentral:rRNA from 1 species